GGUCGAGUAGUAUAGUGGUUAACACGCCAGUCUCACACACUGGAGUCCCGGGUUCAAUUCCCGGCUUGACCU
rfam:Beauveria bassiana D1-5 contig00354, whole genome shotgun sequence.